AUUGAACGCUGGCGGCAGGCCUAACACAUGCAAGUCGAGCGGAGCGGCGGACGGGUGCGUGAUGCCUAUGAAUCUGCCUGGUAGUGGGGGAUAACGUCCGGUAACGGGCGCUAAUAUCGAAUCCUAUCACAUGAGCCUAGGUCGGAGUAGCUAGUUGGUGGGGUAAAGGCCUACCAAGGCGACGAUCCGUAACUGGUCUGAGAGGAUGAGCAGUCACACUGGAACUGAGACACGGUCCAGACUCCUACGGGAGGCAGCAGUGGGGAAUAGUGGACAAUGGGCGAAAGCCUGAUCCAGCCAUGCCGCGUGUGUGAAGAAGGUCUUCGGAUUGUAAAGCACUUUAAGUUGGGAGGCGGUACCAACAGAAUAAACACCGGCUAACUCCGUGCCAGCAGCCGCGGUAAUAC
rnacentral:rRNA from 1 species